rnacentral:rRNA from 1 species
UAAGACGAACCGUGCGAACGUUAUUCGGAAUCACUGGGCUUAAAGGGCGCGUAGGCGGGUCGGUAAGUCAGGGGUGAAAUCCCACGGCCCAACCGUGGAAGUGCCUCUGAUACUGCCGGCCUCGAGGGGGAUAGGGGCGUGCGGAACUCAGGGUGGAGCGGUGAAAUGCGUAGAUAUCCUGAGGAACACCGGUGGCGAAAGCGGCGCGCUGGAUCCCUUCUGACGCUGAGGCGCGAAAGCCAGGGGAGCAAACGGGAUUAGAUACCCCGGUAGUCCUGGCCCUAAACGUUGGGUACUAGGUAGCGGCCUGUCAUGGGGUCGCUGCCGGAGCAAAAGUGUUAAGUACCCCGCCUGGGGAGUAUGGUCGCAAGGCUG